rnacentral:lncRNA from 1 species
UGGCGAGUUGCGAUAGCGGACGCCGCUCCACUCUCCGCAACAGACUCCACGUGGCGAGCCAUGGUAACAGCCACGACUCCACCCCAUUAUUCUUCAUAAUAAAUCUCUUCUGGCCCUGUGCGGCCCAUGACCAGGCGGUUACAAACAUCGCCAUCAAUUCGUUGUCCCCUCCGCCUAUAAAAAGGGGACCCCAGAUACAUUAUUCUCUAAGCUCAAAAACUCUAUCUCAAAACUCUGCUAAAAUUUCUGUUC